AGAUCUAUCAAAGAGGAGCCCCAGAGUUCUGGGAUGGUGGAAGGAACCAACCGGACACUUGAAGAGACACUCUCCAAGUGGAUCUUAGAGACUGCCUGCUCCUGGGUAGACUUGUUUCCAAUGGCUCUGCUCAGACCCAGGAUGACCCCACGGU